rnacentral:rRNA from 1 species
GACGAACGCUGGCGGCGUGCUUAACACAUGCAAGUCGAACGGAAAGGCCCUGCUUUUGUGGGGUGCUCGAGUGGCGAACGGGUGAGUAACACGUGAGUAACCUGCCCUUGACUUUGGGAUAACUUCAGGAAACUGGGGCUAAUACCGGAUAGGAGCUCCUGCUGCAUGGUGGGGGUUGGAAAGUUUCGGCGGUUGGGGAUGGACUCGCGGCUUAUCAGCUUGUUGGUGGGGUAGUGGCUUACCAAGGCUUUGACGGGUAGCCGGCCUGAGAGGGUGACCGGCCAAAUUGGGACUGGAAACCGGCCCAAGCUCCAUGGGGGGGGAGGAGGGGGGAAUUUGGCCAAAGGGGGGGAAGCCGGAUGCAGAAACCCCGGGGGGGGGAUGAGGGCCUUGGGGUUGAAAACCGCUUUCCCCUGUAACGAAGGGGGGGGGACGGUAAUGGGUAAAGAAGCACCGGCUAACUACGU